AUUGAACGCUGGCGGCAGGCCUAACACAUGCAAGUCGAGCGGAUGAAGGGAGCUUGCUCCUGGAUUCAGCGGCGGACGGGUGAGUAAUGCCUAGGAAUCUGCCUGGUAGUGGGGGAUAACGUCCGGAAACGGGCGCUAAUACCGCAUACGUCCUGAGGGAGAAAGUGGGGGAUCUUCGGACCUCACGCUAUCAGAUGAGCCUAGGUCGGAUUAGCUAGUUGGUGGGGUAAAGGCCUACCAAGGCGACGAUCCGUAACUGGUCUGAGAGGAUGAUCAGUCACACUGGAACUGAGACACGGUCCAGACUCCUACGGGAGGCAGCAGUGGGGAAUAUUGGACAAUGGGCGAAAGCCUGAUCCAGCCAUGCCGCGUGUGUGAAGAAGGCCUUCGGAUUGUAAAGCACUUUAAGUUGGGAGGAAGGGCAGUAAGUUGAUACCUUGCUGUUUUGACGUUACCAACAGAAUAAGCACCGGCUAACUUCGUG
rnacentral:rRNA from 1 species